CCUAUGCAGGCUCAUCUGGUCAUGGGAAUUCAGGGUGGCAUCAAACAAGGAAGCACUCUCCAGCCCUCAGCCCUCCUCUCAGCAGGCCGUCAGAGUGCUUGACUGCCGCUGCCUCCUGUAGCCAGCCAGCUUAUGCUUGCACUUUGUUCUUGGGCAUAGAUGCGAAAGAACAAGUCUUUCUUCUUACCCUUUUUUAAAGAACUUGAUAUUCUUCAGUGCCUCAUUUGGCACCUGCAUUUCACUUUUAAAUGUGCACCUCGGACACAUCAUAAUGGCAAGGAAGAACCAUCACAAUAGCCCCCACUACACUCCACACAUCUGCUCUUUGUGUCCCGUCCUGCAGCUGUAGAUGUUCUGUGACACUGAGAAAAGGGGAAGAAAGCAAGGUUCCGAUGUUUCUCAUCAACUUGCUAAAGAAAUGUUAGCCAUCAAGCCUCCAAAACUUGGUUUGGGCUCAAGAAAAUCAAGAGAAAAUAUUUAAGAGCUGGCAGUUAUUUUUACCCAGCAUCAUGCCACACUGGCAGAGCUCCCAGGCGAGAAGAGCCAGCACCCCUAAAUUCUGAAGUGAGUGGAGACAAAGAGAGUGCAUUGAAGUGGGCUCACCCUCCUUUGGCGUCUCACCCAGGACCCUCAC